GACGAACGCUGGCGGCGUGCUUAACACAUGCAAGUCGAACGAUGAAGAAGAGCUUGCUCUUCGGAUUAGUGGCGAACGGGUGAGUAACACGUGACUAACCUGCCCCUUUCUCUGGGAUAACGCUACGAAAGGAGUGCUAAUACCGGAUACUCACAUCGAGGCACAUGCCUUGCUGUGGAAAGUUUUUCGGAAAGGGAUGGAGUCGCGGCCUAUCAGCUUGUUGGUGAGGUAACGGCUCACCAAGGCGACGACGGGUAGCCGGCCUGAGAGGGCGACCGGCCACACUGGGACUGAGACACGGCCCAGACUCCUACGGGAGGCAGCAGUGGGGAAUAUUGCACAAUGGGCGAAAGCCUGAUGCAGCGACGCCGCGUGAGGGAUGAAGGUCUUCGGAUUGUAAACCUCUUUCAGUAGGGACGAAGCGAAAGUGACGGUACCUAAAGAAGAAGCACCGGCUAACUACGUGCCAGCAGCCGCCGUAA
rnacentral:rRNA from 1 species